GACGAACGCUGGCGGCGUGCUUAACACAUGCAAGUCGAGCGAUGAAGCACCUUCGGGUGUGAAUUAGCGGCGAACGGGUGAGGAACACGUGAGAAAUCUGCCUUCAACUCUGGGAUAACUCCGUGAAAACGGGGCUAAUACCGGAUAUGAAACCUGCGGGCAUCCGCGGGUUUGGAAAGUUUUUCGGUUGAAGAUGAUCUCGCGGCCUAUCAGCUUGUUGGUGAGGUAAUGGCUCACCAAGGCGACGACGGGUAGCCGGCCUGAGAGGGCGACCGGCCACACUGGGACUGAGACACGGCCCAGACUCCUACGGGAGGCAGCAGUGGGGAAUAUUGGGCAAUGGAGGAAACUCUGACCCAGCGACGCCGCGUGCGGGAUGAAGGCCUUCGGGUUGUAAACCGCUUUCAGCAGGGAAGAAGCGAAAGUGACGGUGCCUGCAGAAGAAGCACCGGCUAACUAUGUGCCAGCCGUCGCCGUAA
rnacentral:rRNA from 1 species